rnacentral:lncRNA from 1 species
AUUUUGUCAGAGAGAGAAGCUAAUGUGGAACGAGUGUCUUGCAAUUUGGAAGAUUAAGAAUUUUCAGAAUAUGAGUAUCAUGUCUCUUACAGUGAGUUGGAAGAAGAGGAUGAGAUUGACCCUCAGCCAGCCCCAGGACCAGCCCGUCAGCAGCCAGCUCAUCAGCAGCCUGCAGGAGGAGAAAUAUUGAUGUAAAAAAAUUGUGAAAUUGAAUGGUCUUCUUGCCCAAGGAAUGAGCCACCCCGCAUGGCUGCCAAUGUGAUAAGGAUGCAACCAGGGCCGACACGGAUGGCGGUUCAGUUCUUUUGAACUGUUCAUCGCAGACACCAUCCAGAAAAUCAUUCUGGACUGCACUAAUUUGGAGGGAAGGAUUAUCUGCUUCGAUAACCGAAACACCAGAUCAGCUCGGCGGCAGAGAGACAAGCUAGCUGCAAUCAGAUGGAAGCGGGGUGAACAGGACAUGACUCGGGUGGCUGAGGUCCUUGAUAAUCUUCUUGGACUUCCUGUGACACCGGGUGCUUUAGAUGUCCUGGAUGGCUAGCAGUGUGCCACCAGUGAUGCGUUUGGAUGACCGCAACACCCUCUGGAGAGCCCUGCGGUUGCGGACGGCGCAAUUGCUGCAUCAGGUGGUAAUACAACCCGACAGGAUGCUCUCAAUGGUGCAUCUGUAGAAGUUUGUGAGGGUCUUAGGGACCCAGGAGAAUUCCUUCAGCCUCCUGAUUUUUUUAUUUAUUAGGAACCCCUUUAGCGACAGUUAGUCUUACUGGACCCCGACACAUAACGAAAAAGACAUUACAGACAAAAAAUACUUUACAGUUUACAUACUUUUAAAAACGUUAACAUGUAGUGUGUGUGUGCAUCGAUCAAUUACACACACAUGUCAAUACAUACACACAACAAGUAGGUCACAUGGGGGAGAGGCGUUGCUUUAUUUGUUUUUUGAAACCAGGUUUGCUGUUCACUUGCACUAUAUGAGAUGUAAGGGAGUUCCAUGCACUCAUGGCUCUCUAGAAUACUGUUCAUUUAGUCACAUAAUUUCUCAAUUUGCCGUAAGUCAGCCAGUCAGAUGUGCAGCCAGACAUAUUAGCCACUCCUUUUGCCCUAUCUCCUUCAGCCAUACAUUUCCUCAUCAAUCCAUGGAGCCUUAACAGAUCUAACAGUCAGUUUUUUUAACAGGUACAUGUUUAUCAAUAACUGG